rnacentral:rRNA from 1 species
GUCCAGACUCCUACGGGAGGCAGCAGUGGGGGAUAUUGCACAAUGGGGGGAACCCUGAUGCAGCGACGCCGCGUGGGUGAAGGAGUAUUUCGGUAUGUAAAGCCCUAUCGGCAGGGAAGAAGCAAGACGGUACCUGACUAAGAAGCCCCGGCUAACUACGUGCCAGCAGCCGCGGGAAUACGUAGGGGGCGAGCGUUAUCCGGAUUCACUGGGUGUAAAGGGAGCGUAGACGGCAUGGCAAGUCAGAUGUGAAAGCCCGGGGCUCAACCCCGGGACUGCAUUUGAAACUGUCAGGCUGGAGUGCAGGAGAGGUAAGUGGAAUUCCUAGUGUAGCGGUGAAAUGCGUAGAUAUUAGGAGGAACACCAGUGGCGAAGGCGGCUUACUGGACUGUAACUGACGUUGAGGCUCGAAAGCGUGGGGAGCAAACAGGAUUAGAUACCCGAGUAU